UUUGGCCAAUCAGAUCCAUGUAAAAGGAUCACUUCUCAGCUGUUGGAUUAUAUUAAAUCAAGGGCUGAGAUUUAUUUUAUUUUUUAUUUUUUUUUUCUUCUCUGGCUUCUCUCUCGACAGAUUCAUUCUCUUUUUUUUUUUUUUUUUUUCUGUUUCUUCUUUCAUCUUCUUCACUCUCAUCUCUCCCAUCUUCUUUCUCUCCCAUCUCUCUACGCUUGAAAGCUCACCAACUCUCUCAUGUCUCACUUUUCAGAUCUGGUUAACUGAGAAAGGAUGAAGAUGAUAAUGGAGACGACGAAGAAGGAGACUCGCUGGGACGAAGCGCCGAGGCUCACCGGAGAAGAAGAUGCGCCGAAGUCUCUCUCUAUCUCCCUUCUCUAUCUAUCUAUCUCUCUCUCUCUCUCGAUCUAAUUAUGAUUUCGUUUUUUGUUUUUUCUUGUAAACAGAGGUAGAUGAGGCAGAAGAAAAUGAUGUUUGGUGGUGGUGCAUAGGUCGUAGAAGAAGAAAAAAUCGAUGGAACUGAGGAGUAAGAUGACAAUUUCGACAGUCACUCCAGGUGAAGAAGAACCGGACAGUCGCCGUGAAGGAGGCUGAAGUUGACGGCAAAGAGGCUGAAGUUGACUGAGGAUUAGGUUUAGGCUUUUGGUUUAGUUCUGGUUUAGUUUAGGUUUAUUGGUUUACUUUACAAUAGAUUUGGUUUCUUUUUAUUUUUUUUUAAUUUUGGUUAGUUUGUAAACCGAACUUAAUUUAUAAAAUAAGAAAUUAUUUUAUUUUAAUUAUAAAUAAAUUUUUAUUUAAUAAAUUUUGUUUUUGAUUUAUAAUAUUCACCCUAUAACAGCAAACUACAAUAAAAGCUAUCUUAUUGCGUAGAGACGAUAGCCUUUAUAAAACUGCUA
rnacentral:lncRNA from 1 species